GACGAACGCUGGCGGCGUGCUUAACACAUGCAAGUCGAACGGAAAGGCCCUGCUUUUGUGGGGUGCUCGAGUGGCGAACGGGUGAGUAACACGUGAGUAACCUGCCCUUGACUUUGGGAUAACUUCAGGAAACUGGGGCUAAUACCGGAUAGGAGCUCCUGCUGCAUGGUGGGGGUUGGAAAGUUUCGGCGGUUGGGGAUGGACUCGCGGCUUAUCAGCUUGUUGGUGGGGUAGUGGCUUACCAAGGCUUUGACGGGUAGCCGGCCUGAGAGGGUGACCGGCCACAUGGGGACUGAGAUACGGCCCAGACUCCUACGGGAGGCAGGAGUGGGGAAUAUUGCACAAUGGGCGGAAGCCUGAUGCAGCAACGCCGCGUGCGGGAUGACGGCCUUCGGGUUGUAAACCGCUUUCGCCUGUGACGAAGCGUGAGUGACGGUAAUGGGUAAAGAAGCACCGGCUAACUACGU
rnacentral:rRNA from 1 species